AUUGAACGCUGGCGGCAGGCCUAACACAUGCAAGUCGAGCGAGCGGCGGACGGGUGAGUAAUGUAUGGGGACUGCCCGAUAGAGGGGGAUAACUACUGGAAACGGUAGCUAAUACCGCAUACUAUCGGAUGACCCAGAUGGGUUUAGCUAGUAGGUGAGGUAAUGGCUCACCAAGGCGACGAUCCCUAGCUGGGCGGAGAGGAUGAUCAGCCACAUUGGGACGGAGACACGGCCCAGACUCCUAGGGAGGCAGCAGUGGGGAAUAUUGCACAAGGGGGGCAAGCCUGAUGCAGCCAUGCCGCGGGUAUGAAGAAGGCCCUAGGGUUGUAAAGUACUUUCAGUCGGGAGGCGUUACCGACAGAAGAAGCACCGGCUAACUCCGUGCCAGCCGCCGCGGUAAUAC
rnacentral:rRNA from 1 species